GCCGGUUAGGCUGCCUACGGCUGCGAGUCGACGGAACCCGGUGCAACUCCGGGACGGUCCCGCCACUGUGAACCCCGCCGAGAGGUGUGGGUGAGUCAGGAACGUCGUCGCAGCUGACUCGAC
rnacentral:ncRNA from 2 species